UACGUAGGAUGCGAGCGUUAUCCGGAUUUAUUGGGUUUAAAGGGUGCGCAGGCGGAUUUUUAAGUCAGCGGUCAAAUCGUGGGGCUCAACCCCGUCGUGCCGUUGAAACUGGCGUUCUUGAGUGAGCGAGAAGUAUGCGGAAUGCGUGGUGUAGCGGUGAAAUGCAUAGAUAUCACGCAGAACACCGAUUGCGAAGGCAGCUUACCAAACUAUAUCUGACGUUGAGGCACGAAAGCGUGGGGAGCAAACAGG
rnacentral:rRNA from 1 species